rnacentral:rRNA from 1 species
ACGAUGAUGAGUAGCUUGCUACUCUGAUUAGUGGCGCACGGGUGAGUAAUAUAUAGAUAACGUACCUCUUAGACUGGGAUAGCCAUUGGAAACGAUGAUUAAUACUAGAUACUCCUUCUAGCUCUAAUGCUAGUCGGGAAAGUUUUUUCGCUAAGAGAUCGGUCUAUAUCCUAUCAGUUAGUUGGUGAGGUAAUGGCUCACCAAGGCAAUGACAGGUAGCGGGUUUGAGAGGAUGAUCCGCCACACCGGUACUGAGACACGGACCAGACUCCUACGGGAGGCGGCAGUGAGGAAUAUUGCACAAUGGGGGAAACCCUGAUGCAGCAACGCCGCGUGGAGGAUGACGCGUUUCGGUGUGUAAACUCCUUUUAUAUGUCAAGAAAAUGACGGUAGCAUAUGAAUAAGCACCGGCUAACUCCGUGCCAGCAGCCGCGGUAAUACGGAGGGUGCAAGCGUUAUUCGGAAUCACUGGGCGUAAAGGACGCGUAGGCGGGUUUGUAAGUCAGGUGUGAAAUCCUACAGCUUAACUGUAGAACUGCACUUGAAACUACUGACCUAGAGUAUGGGAGGGGGAGAUGGAAUUAGUGGUGGUAGGGGUAAAAUCCGUAGAUAUCACUAGGAAUACCUAAAGCGAAGGCGAUCUCCUGGAACAUAACUGACGCUAAGCGUGAAAGCGUGGGGAGCAAACAGGAUUAGAUACCCUGUAGUCCACGCCCUAACGAUGACACUAGUCGUCGUGAUGCUAGUC